rnacentral:rRNA from 1 species
AUACGGAGGGUGCAAGCGUUAUUGGGAAUCACUGGGCGUAAAGGGUGCGUAGGCGGUUUGAUAAGUCUGAUGUGAAAUCCUAUGGCUCAACCAUAGAACUGCAUUGGAAACUGUCAGACUAGAAUACUGAAGGGGCAGAUGGAAUUAGUGGUGUAGGGGUAAAAUCCGUAGAUAUCACUAGGAAUACCGAAAGCGAAAGCGAUCUGCUGGGAAGUUAUUGACGCUGAGGCACGAAAGCGUGGGGAGCAAACGGGAUUAGAAACCCCAGUAGUCC